GACUGCUGUUAAUCUACUUUAAAGUAACUGGGAAUAGGAUUGUUCCUUGAAUUCUUUGUUGUGAAAAUGUCAUUCGUCCUGUCCCAGCUAAAGCAGUAUUAUUCCAAACACAGGUGAAAGGGCACUAAAGAAAGCAAAGUCUUGGCAAUUGGUUUUGAUCUGUCAGACAUUCUGUUUACAUCUGGGCAACGUUUUUCCUGCAGGGGUAAUUCAGCCACACAAAUACCACUCUUCCAAAAUAGCUGUUUUGGCUGCGGGAGUUCCUGCAUCUCCAGCUCCUGAAGGUGUUUGACACCGGUGCUUCUGGAGCAGUACCAGGAGCCUUAGCUCCGAUAAGGCUGCCUCCUUGGUAGCUGCUGCCUCAUUCCUAGAAGUGGUUGGAGGAAACCUCCAGAGGGCAUUUCCAGCAUCCCACUCAAAGCAGCCCCAUCACCAGCGCUGCAGCAGCACAGCAGCAGUUUCCUUUAGCCAAAUCCCGAAAGCCUCUAAGGGUAAGAAUACAAUGACCUUCCUGGGCAGUACCAUGCUGUAGUACCCACCCAAGAACAUAGCUACCACAGCCCCCAGAGCGUUCCCAGCACCCAUCCUGAGCCUCCCGAGCUGCAGCCUGUGGCCUUGUUGUGGCACUUCAUCUGGAUAGGUACUGUAACCUCUUUUACUGCAGAUGUAUUUUUAUAUACAAUUUAUAUUCUUAAAUGCAGUGUUACUUGUAUUAGUUUUCUGCUUUUGAAAUCACUUUUGGAAAUAUUAACAGUAUAGGUAGUAAGGGAUAAAUUACAUCGUGGUAGGAAACUUUUCUCCUUAUAUCCUGAAAGGAAUUAGGCUUGUUAUGAUGAAAACUACCUUUCAGUGGUAUAUCUUGGUACAUCUCCUCCUGUUAGUGAAGGUAAGCAGCAGGACAGUCACAGCAGAGCCUGUUGCUGUGAGAUAAAGGGUUCAGGGAUAGCUACUCUUCACCACCACGGGGUGUCACCGUAGAUAGCACAAUAAUCUCCCAAACUCCCACUGACAAACAACUCAAAAACAAAACCGAAACAGCCCUGAAUGAAGCGGCUCUUUCACAGCUCUUAGUGGCUUUUUAAACACAAGUCUUAAAAAUCUAAUUCUGUAGCGAGGCCUAACGUUUCCAAUCACGUCAUGUUUGCCUUUUUGCUAGAGACCACUGUGUUCUGUCAUGAAGUUGGUCGUGUAAUUAAGAUGCCUCAAAAGAAAGAUGCACAGUAUUCAUUUUCCAAAGUGUUUUGUUCAAGGUUUGCACACAAGGCUUGGAACUGAGCUCAGUAGGUCACCACUGCUGCACCAAAGCUGGGAGGGCUCGCCGGGACCGGUGACAGUGCUCUGUCUGCUGCGAGGCCAAGAUGUUGCUGUCUGCUGAACAUGGUGAGCUUCACAUGGACUCAGCCAGUGAAGUUCAGUAGCAUGGGGUGUGAGAAGACCAACCUAGAUGAUAUCGUUGGUCCUCCUGGACUCAAAUUAUAUAUAGAAAUUGGCCAUCCCAUUCUGAGUUGUCUCCUUCCCUCUAAAGGAGGAUGACGUUGCGAGCUUUCUCUCACGUGCAUCAAAUGGUGAUGUUAGCUGAGCGCUCUGAGGAUCUGAUGCAAGGGUGGACGUGUGUAUGAAGGGUACUGCCAUAACAUUUCAUGGUCAUUAAGAACGUACAGGUUCUACUUAUUUAACCAUAACACCUUUAAGGAGAGCAGUGGAAACAACCAGCAAUCUUCUGUACGAGAACGUAAGUAAAACUAAACAUUGACAGCUACCUUAGAGAAAUUUCUUUCUGUAAGAUCCCUUGUAACAGACACAGGCGUUUCCUCUUUCUCUCCCUUUCAAUUUCCGGUGCUUAAGUGAGAAUGUUUUGCCUUCCCUUUUAUCCCAUUCAGCUGAAAGCAGCUUCCUGCAGUCCGCACCUCUACUGCAUGGCACCAUGCAACAAGGCUGGCUAAAGGGGGAUACCACCUUGCUUUGUCUGCAGUUGGCUUGGGGUCCUGCUGGGGUUUACGGUGUGCAGACCACAACGUGGGCUUCAUCUGCUCGGCAUGCCAGCACAGGGGUUUGAACUGCCUUUGACAGCACCUCAUGGAGCCACAUUGGUGUGAUCCAGGGCAGUGGUGAGUGGGCCACCAGGAGGGAGGUGGGCUACCAGCAGGCAGGUGGCACAUAUGGAUGAGCACGUUCUGUGAGUCCCCAGGGAGGAGAGAAAUUGCAGCAGUGCUCAGGCCGCUCCAAGUCUUUUGAGCUGGACGUUGACCUUAGGAACGUAAUCAGAGAGCUGAUUAUAAAUAGUUGGUGCAGUUGUUGAUGGGAUUAAAAUGUGCUGCGGCAGGCAGCCGGUUGGAGGCAGGGGUUACUCCCGUGUGUGCCCAGGAUGCUGCGUGCUCAUUUGUCUAUGGCUGCACGUUGAGCCUGAAAAAGGGAAGUGGCUGAAAAACGCUAAGAAAAUCUUCCCAGAGAGGGGGAAGGAGGAAGUCGUGUGGCUUACAAAAGAGGGCUGAGGGACAUGGGGGAAGGGACCAGGGAGCAGAGAAUUAAUGAGGAAGGAGGACGGUCACUGCAAGUGUUCAGGAAGCAAAAUCCUCAAAGCAGGGGAAUGCCCUAGAUAACAGUGGUCAAAACCUCCAGGUAAACCACAGAUGGUGAUCUGUGUUCAGCUGGUGGUGCGUGAUGGAGCUGGGAGAAAAGGGAGGGAAAAGGAGCAGGGAAGGAAUUGCGGGAGAUACACAGCAACCCUGCUGGGGGCUGACACACCAGGGCUCAGCACUUCCAGCUGCUUUGCUGCAAUGCCUCCCCACGAGCCCACCCCGGCGGGUCCCCAGCAGGAGGCCAAUCCUGGGAACAGAGGACUGCAAGUCGGUGCCGCCGCUGCCGGUUAUCUGCCCAGCCCUGGCAUCCCGCCUCGAGAGCCCCUCCUGGGCUGCGUUGGCUGAGCAAACCCGAGAGCGGGGCAACGGUCAGAGCGACAGAAAUGACUCGCUGGGGGAGAAGUGCAGCGAGAUGGGCUCCAGGAGAGAUGAGUCACUGCCGAGCUGCACUCCAGAAACAGCUCACAGAGCCAGCUGCUGCUGUUCGGAAGAUGAACUUACUGGGCUCUGCAGGCUGGCAACAGGGGCGCGGUAGAUGAGCUUGGCUUCAGCUAUUUCAGCGCACGCAGAAGGUGGAUCCAUUUGUGCCUGGGAAGAACGGGAAGCCGGGCGUGCAGAAGCUGUCCUGAAGCUCUGGUGGUCAGCCCGGGCAGCUCCAACACAGGCAGCGCUCCUUAUACCGCACUUACUCGUCUGUUAAUCAUUAAACACUGAUUAGAAAAGGCAAAACAGACAAUGCCUCGAAGGUGGUUCUGACUUUGCGGCCUUCCAGUACUUGAAGGGAGCUUACAGGCAGGAGAGGGAGUGACUUUGUACAUGGUCUGCUAGUGAUAGGGCAAGGGAGAAUGGCAUUUAACUACCAGAGGGAAGAUUUAGGUUAGAUGUGAGGAGGAAAUUCUUUACUCAGAGGGCAAUGAGGCACUGACAGUGCUGCCCAGAGCUGUGGGUGUCACAACCCUGGAGGUGCCCAAGGCCAGGUUGGAUGGGCCCUGGGCAGCCUGAGCUGGUGGGGGACACCCAGCCCACAGCAGGAGCUGGGGCAGGGGUGGCUUUGGGUCCCUUCCAGCCCAAGCCAUUCUGUGAUUCUAUGAUUCUAUGUCUUUGAAAUGGCUCUGUAUCUUGCAGUGGCCACUAUUACUUAAGGUAGAAGAGCCUAAAAUUAAACAUUUAUAUUUUG
rnacentral:lncRNA from 1 species